rnacentral:sRNA from 1 species
UGCGCCUGCGAAGGACGCAGCGCCGCCCCUCAUCCGGCCUUGCAGGCGGCCAGGCGGCGUACCCGUCCCGUGAAAGGCAAUUUUGCCUAUUCAAAUUCUUUC